rnacentral:tRNA from 1 species
GGGAGCAUAGUACAACCUGGCUAGUAUGGCCGCCUCCAGAGCGGCUGAUUUGGGUUCAAAUCCCAAUGCUCCCA